UACAGAGGUCCCGAGCGUUGUUCGGAUUCAUUGGGCGUAAAGGGUGCGUAGGCGGCGGGGCAAGUCUGAUGUGAAAUCCCGGGGCUCAACCCCGGAACUGCAUUGGAUACUGCCUUGCUUGAGUACUGGAGAGGAGACUGGAAUUUACGGUGUAGCAGUGAAAUGCGUAGAGAUCGUAAGGAAGACCAGUGGCGAAGGCGAGUUUCUGGACAGUUACUGACGCUGAGGCACGAAGGCCAGGGGAGCAAACGGG
rnacentral:rRNA from 1 species